rnacentral:sRNA from 1 species
UGGGCAUGAGAACAGAAGGACAAACUCUGAAGUGAUGCACCAUUACUGAAAUUCGCUUUAAAAUAAAUUUUUUAUCUGCAGUUUGUAGAAUGUAUGUCACUUUGAUCAUCAUAGAAGACAGCUAAGACACAGCUAAUUUAAUCCAGAUGAGAUUCUUAUAUGAGGGAGUUCAUUCAGAAAGAAGACAGCAUAUAAACUAAAAAUGCACAGUGGCAAAGUCCUAGAGCUGAAACGAUGUUGUAACGGGAAGAACCAAAGAGGCCCGAAUGAUGGUAACCAGACUGAAAGAUGUGAUAACCUGCUUGGAGAGGUCCUCACGUGCAAAGGAAUAUAGAGAAAGAAAAAAAAAUUGUUGGGUCACUUGAGGCAGACAGUUCUAAAAUACGACCUUUUAAAUAAAUGCCACCAAUCCAUCCGUACAGUGUUUUCCAGAUUAGGGCAACUGGCUGGCCCUAGGGUGUGGAUGAAAAUCAACACUCACACACAUGGAUCCCACUGGCAAUGUUGAAGUGAUUUGAGUAAGUUGCAGCCAACAUAACAGAAGAAGUGAUGUGCUCAGCUUGGGGACAGAUCUAAUUUGAGAUGGGUUUCCUGAGCUCUCGGGGUUGUGAUUUGGUGGAGACAUCCCAUUUAGAGCUGAAUAUUCCAAGGUCUCUCACCCUGGGUAUUAUCUGCCUGGGAGUUUUUAUGUUUGUUGUCAUUUUCUGCAAGAGGAAUCUUCUCUGAUGAUGGCUGAACAAGGUACUGGUCUAUGAAUA